UGCUAUAUAAGCAAAUACUGGUGAUUUGGCGACUGUAGCAGACACUUGUGUAUACUGAACUCAGCGCUGAAGUGGAGAAGAUGCUGGGAUCCAGACACUGGUCAUGGCUGUACAGACCCAAUUUCCACAGGCACAGACACAGCGGUUACAGUCCACCUCGGUCUCAGCUCCAUCUGCAUACGUUUCAUCCUCCAGGGCACACU
rnacentral:lncRNA from 1 species